GAAAACAGAUGUUUUCCUUCUCACCAGUUACCUUGGAACCACUGAACUAUCAACUAGUUGUGCUGUGUAAAAAACAUUUUAAAUACAAGAUUCAUGGAAUCUUAAAGCACCUAUGUUUGCAAGAGAUACUGCUGUUCAAGAAAGGAAGAUGCACUUUUUAAUAUUUUCUAUAUGAAAAAUGAGUUAAUUUUGAUAAGAUGAUGAACAAAGAUGUUUGUUUAGAAACUUGCAGCGGAGUUACUAACUAUAGAGAACUAUGAAACCUACACUGGGUGAACUCUUCCUGAAUUAAUAACCGAUCUGAUAAUGAAGGGUUUUCCAGUUCUUUGGCUGCCAUCUUUGUGCCUGCAGGAUAAUCAGUGGCCCUUCCCACCCACUUUAGCUUCUAUGAAGAUGUCGAAACCACUAUAUUCUUUCAUUCCUGCAGCUUUAUUUAAGACAUGAUGAGCCUAAUAACUGUUCUUCAACAGCAGAGGUACAGUCCUGUGUGCCAGGAGCCCUUAGUUUUGCUGUGAGGUCAACUGUGGAACAUCUCCAACAAAAUGGUGACAGCAUCCACUUGCCUUACUCAGUGCACGCACUUCCCUUUGAUCUGUGGGGGGGAAUGCAAAAUGGGCUUGGGGCUGUCCUUUGGAAGCCUACCAUAAAGGAUAGGGUAGUUAGCAUGGCCCCAGGUGCUUGCUUGGAAAUAAGCUUCACAGAAACUAAACCAUACUUUUUCCUGAAUCACUACUGAAUAAUGGAGAGCUGUAGUUUAGUCUGGACAACGCUUCAUGCAAGAGACUAUGUAUUUUUCACUCGGUCUCAAACUGACUGCCUCCCAUCGUUCCAAGUAAGCUGUUAGAAAGUGGAAAAAAAGUGUAAAUUCUGCCUUAUGGUGGUUUAAGUUAGGGUAACAUUGUUGACUCGUGGCCAGACAAAUUUGGAAGUUAUUUGUCAGGCAGCAGAAUUGUUUAAAAGGUCAAAGUGCAUGACAUUUAUAAUAAUUUAAAGAGCAGUCUACUUCUGUAAUUUUUGCAGCAUAUUAUGUGCUGUGUCCAUGAAGGAAAAGCAAUUAGUUAUUCAUAACUAUUUCAAUAUAUUUUGUAAGUCUUAAGUUUUGGGUCAGUUCUGAACAGUAGGGCAGAGAACCAUUAAAUGAGGACUUUGGCUUGUUGCCUGUUUUGGCAGAAAAGUGCUUUUCCUUGCCCCUAAGCUCAGCUACUCCUGAUUGCAUGGCUAUGGUUAGUUAUUAGCCUUAGCUGGGUAGGGAAGAUAUGGAUCUACUGGUCAGACAGGCUGCGUAGGAGGAGCACUAAGAGUUUAUUUGAAAAGGUGGAGUCUGUAGUAUUUGUAAGCCUGUAUCUCGGCCAUGGACUGGGACUGACUCCAUCUUACAAGAAACAGAUGGCAAAGAGGAGUUGACAGACCUGGCAAAGGCUUGCCUGUACCCUCUGUUGGGGCGGGGGCAAUUAAACAGCCAGACAGACUUAGUAGUUGGUUUGAUCUCUAUUUUACAUUUGUAAAAUGGUGAUUCGUGAUUUCAAAGGCAGGCCAUUGGGGGAAAUAUGUAUUUGAUACUGUGGUAAUGAGUUGCAUGAGAAUCUUAAAUGUGAGAAAGACAAACCAGUGCAAGUCUUGUUAGGAUGGGAUCAGCAAGGUUGGCUUUUGGCCUUUUCGAACUCCAACAUGAAAGAGUAUUGGUGUGUUGGGUUUGUUUAGGCUUUAUUCACUGGCCUUCACCAUGCUAUGAAGAUGAGAGUUAAAAUUGGAGAAGAGAUGAGAAAAAAGUAGCUUCUGUCAGAAAUAAUUGUUGAGAAGCAAUGUCUGUGGUGUUAAUUCUCUUCUUCCUCUGAUGCAUGUAAAGAAAUAGUUUCCAUGACUGAAAAUCUUAGUUAUUUAGAGCUGCAUCUUUCAACUGUUUUUUGAGAAAAUUCUAGAAACAAGGCCAAAUGUGUUAGUACCUUGGAUAAUAAAUAUAUUCUGUGUAUCUGUGUACAGCAUGAGAUAGAGAAGCAACAUCAUGCAUCUACACGAAGGUACAUUUUUUUUAUUACGAGUUUGCUUCAAAAUUACCCAAUACUUGGUUUGGAAAUGCUUUUUGUCUCCAAAAAUUACCAAGGUUUCAUGUUGUUGAUGAAAGAAAACACAUUUAUACAACUAAAAAGUUUCUUAACAGGAAGAGCCAGGAUGUGAAUAAGAAAGGGCCAUCCGAAUCUGUAACAGUAGCAAUAAUAUCUUGAGGCGAAGCUGAGGAUUUUUUUUCAUGUUUGUGCCCAAUAUAUGUGAGCUUCCCCUACUCCCCUCAACCUUCGGUUCAUUCACAAUCCCAUGAAUAGUUUAGUAGAUUUUUUUUGUCCUAAUUUACUUUUGUCGAUACUUUCUCUGAAGCUGAGGAGCUCACCAACUCAAAGGUCUAUUAAAAGCCUAUUUCCCUGUAGCCAUCAAGAAACACCUACCACCUUGUGGUGAGAGGUGAUACUAUAGCCCUCACUUUUCCCUUGAAAAUGCAGCAACGCUGAGGGCAAGCGAGCCCGUCUGUAGCUGCAGAGACCCAGCAGGGAUAUCCAAAGGCAACUGCGGUGGGGAUGAUGGUGUAGCUAAGGUGCGAAGGUGUAGUCCUGAGGAUCUUGGGUUUGGUCACAGUCUCUAGUUUGGAGAACAUCACACAUUUUUUUGUUUUGCACAGAUGCGUGGUGUUUCUUUUUUUUUUGUCUCCCUAGCUGGAUAAGGACUGAGACACUAUGUAUGUGUAGACCAUGACAUGAUCAUCUACUGAGGGGGGCAGACAGGGCAGGUAUAGGCACAGGACUGCUCCAGUAUCUAUUGCAAUGCAAAUGAAGAAGUGAUCCUGACUACUUUCAGAAUCCUAGAGCAUUGUGUCACUGAUUUAAAAAAGAAGGGACGAGUAUGUUUUAAGGGUUAUAUGGCCUAUAAUUGGUUUUCAAGAGGGCUGGUGACUUUUCUGUCACUCAUUUGUCCUUUGGCCCUCAUCUGUAUCUUGUUUACUCUUAUGCUUCUUUUCAACCUUUCGCUUUAAAAAGCAGUCACUGCAACAAAAAAAUAGACUACUUACUAGUUUCUGAAGAAGCAGUAACAUUUUAAGCUUUUGAAUGGGUAAGCCAAAUUAAAAAAAAAAAACAAAAAACAAAAAACAAACAACCUUUUUAUUUUGUUCCCUGUGAUUUGUAAGAUUUGUGCUUUUAGGCUUUAAACUGAAAACUGGAAGAUCUGGAGCUAAGUAUUGACCUAUCUAGGAAGAGUUAAUGGAAGGCCACUGAUUAACUUGUAACUAAAUAAUAGCUGAACCAGCUGGGCUGUCAACUGAGAUUUUAAUGUUGGUGUACCAGGAAGUGGUGACUCAUGUGCACUUUGAAUCUGAAGCCUUUCAAAGAAGCUAGGGGAAUAAUUUCAGAAAGUGCUGUAAUGCACAAACAGCUCCACUAAAGCUAUGGAAGACACAACAUCAGGCUUUUCUGCUGAACAGUACAGUGUGUCAGAGGCUUCACCCCUGUAGCCUGUACUACUCUAUUAACUAGGGGAAGAAAUUAGUUAUUCUGGUACCACACGACAAUAUGAAAAAGAUUAGCUGAGUCUUCCACUGGGCAGGUUUCUUAAUGGGGGCCUAGUAACUUACUUUGCCUCACUGCAAAGCUAGAUUAUGUAUCCGUCAGCUCUGGGUGAGGACAAACAAACUUCUCAUAACCCAUAUUUUCGAUCUGCUACCAGCCUGUUAAGGACUCCGACGACACCUGCAGAGAGCCAUUGAGUUUAUUAAUAUUGAAUGGUCAUAGCGAUAUGUACAGUGAGGAGAAGCUUCUGGUUCUGGAUAGGAUUUUUCUUGCAGGAUGGAUAUUCAGGAAAUAAUUCAUUAAAAUAUACUACGUGCUGCCAUGGAUCGUGUUGUGGAGGCCCAAAAGUGGUGUCAUUGACCUAAAAAUAAAUUGGGAAAAUCCA